rnacentral:rRNA from 1 species
GUCUACUGCCAUGCCACCCUGAACACGCCCGAUCUCGUCUGAUCACGGAAGCAAAGUAGGGUUGGGCCUGGUUAGUACUUGGAUGGAAGACCACCUAGAAAAACUGAGUGCUAUAGGCG